rnacentral:lncRNA from 1 species
GUUUUAUCUUUCUGUCACCUUCUCUUCCUCUGUCACCUUCUCUUUCUCUGUCACAUCUUUUCAAUCAACUGUGCCCACACAGAUGCCAGGAUGAGUACAUUUACCAGGUAAGAGUAUAAAACACUGAUUUCCUAACUGAUACACAGGUGAGACAGGCAGGACAAACAAGCUACUAGGUUAAGUGUUGAUCCCAUCCUCUAAUCCUUCUGAUGAGAUGCUUCAGUCCUUUUGGUGAGGAAGACAAUGGUUCAAACAGAUUGAUCCAUUUUGUGGAUGAGAUGUUUUUCUUCUGACUCCCUUACAAUUGUAACAGUUUUCAGUCCAGAGUUUUAUAUUUUAAAUCUUUGAGCUACUAUUGUUAUAAUUUAAAUAUUUGCUGUUACUAUCUAAAUUGUCCCAUCUUUAUCUGUGAUUUUGCUUCUGUUAUUUUACACUGUUCUAGCCUGUAUGCUUCCUUUCUGCUUUUUCUCAUCUCUGUCUUAUCAGAAGUCUAAGCUGGAGUUAGACAGCUGUACUGUGUCCAAACCAGAAUCUGGAUCACACACAGCUGAAACCCUGGAAGGAGGAUUACAGGAUAAACAUACUUGCUUCAGUAAGAAAAUAAUGAUGCAAAAAGCCAGCUUGUGUUACAACAGCUCCACAGAACAAAGAAUAAAGGACAUUUGGUGCCAGUCUUGCCGUGACUCCUCACAAAGGUGGAGGCCUUCUGUCAACUUCUAGAAGAGUUACUGGAAGAUCAGAAAGACCACAUUAAUUUAUCUGUCUAUCCCCUGACUAGAGGAUGAAUCUGAAAAUUUAAAAAUGUUCCUUAAAAUAUAGAGUCAAAAUAACUGUUUUAAGUGUGACAUUACCUUUUUUCAACUAGCAACUGUUCCUCUCUCUUUGCAGCAGAGUUAAUUUUGCUUUUAUUACGACCAUGGGUGCAUGACUGUUUCAAAAUAUUGGGAAAGGGCAAUGAGCCAAAAUCAUUAUCUUCACUUGAAGAGUUUAAUGCCAAAUGUAAAUAUUGGAGGGGCUUGAGUGCCCAAGCCAUCCCUCAAGGCUUUAUGCAUCUGAUUAUAAAUGUCCCUGCUGCACUGUCAGCUAGUCACCAUCACGACUUCAGUCCAGUGUUGUCAAGGAAAUAACAACCUACAGUCUUCCACUGCUUAUCAGUAUAAAGACAGCACUUAAAUAACACAUGGGUUGACUUCCCCUCAAAUACUCCUGUAUAAUUGAAAUUGUUAAUAGACAAUUAGAAAAAUCAGAAAUAAAAAUAUAAUUCAGAAUGGUUUAGAUGAUAAU